UGAUUGGUGGCGUCUGCGUUUAUGAAAUGACAGAAGUCAGAAAGUGACGCGUGCAGGAUCGCAGCUGGUGAGGAUGGAGGCAGGAUGGGAAGCCAGACCUGCCGGCCACGGCAGCCACGUCCUCUGUCUGAUGACCAAGGGGCUUCCCUGGGCCUGGAGGAUGCCAGGACACGGGAGAGAAAGUUCACCCAGAAAUACCCACAGUUCACACAGGACGACAGCCGCCUACUGGUCUUCACCCCAUUUCGAGGCGGUGACGCACCACACAGCCUACCACGUGUUCUUUACUCUGGAGACAGAGUCGCGACUGCAGAGCUGAGCUACUGUCGUGCUUGUAACUCAGUGUUUUCAGGAACCAGGGACACCCAGGCUGAGUGCAUUUGGUUAUUUCUGGAGAAGGACAGGAUGGACACACGCUGAACCCGCGGCUGCUGACAGGAUCCAGCCAUUGAUUCCAUGAGUCUGGAUGAGAAGUCACCGCAGGAUGGAGAGGGAAGCUUCCUGUCAUCAGACGCAGGGGCCAUG